rnacentral:rRNA from 1 species
CGUAGGUGGCGAGCGUUGUCCGGAAUCACUGGGCGUAAAGGGCGCGUAGGCGGCAAUACAAGUCGCAAUGUGAAAUACCAGGGCUCAACCCUGGGGUGUCAUGCGAAACUGUAUAGCUUGAGUGCAGUAGAGGUAAGCGGAAUUCCUGGUGUAGCGGUAAAAUGCGUAGAGAUCAGGAGGAACACCGGUGGCGAAGGCGGCUUACUGGGCUGCAACUGACGCUGAGGCGCGAAAGCGUGGGGAGCAAACAGGAUUAGAUACCCUGGUAGUCCACGCGGUAAACGAUGAUUACUAGGUGUAGGGGACGCAGGUCUUCUGUGCCGGAGCUAACGCAAUAAGUAAUCCGCCUGGGAGUACGGCCGCAAGGUUG